rnacentral:miRNA from 1 species
UUAAUAUAUAGAUCAAAUCUAUAAAUUUUUAAAAAGUUUAAAAAUCGUUUGAUACUUUCUUUCAUUAAUUAAAUUGAUAGAUAAUUAUAAAAUUAUUUUAUACGUUAAUUUAAUUUAAUUAAAUGAAAUAUCAAAUGAUUUUCAAACUUUUUAAAAAUUUAUAAAUUUGAUCUAUAUAUUAA